AAGGGGCCGUGGGGAGGGGGGGCUUUGACAAUGAACUUGAGACAAACUUCAUUAGCAUGCAGGCCUGCUGUCUGUCACUUUGAGCUCAGACAGAGUUCCCAUGCAGGCCAGGAAGAGUGGGAGGGAGAGAAGGGGAGGGGCUGUGAGUGGGGGGUGAAAGACAAGAGCCCCCCGACCAUUGUACCGCUGGGGCCUCACCUUCCACCAAAUAUUAAACCCUAGCCCUGGAAACCAACCUCCAAAUCGUUCUCUAAGAACAAGAUAAUUUAUCUCCCACUUUGAGCCUGUGGUUCCACCCCUCCUGUCUAGACAUCCAAGAGCUGGUGGCCCCUGUCCCUAGUCCAGGUCUCAGCCUUUAUCUCCCAGUGGCCGCUUAUUCCUUCACAACCAAGAUCUAAAUUUGUGAUUGAUCCAGUUGGUUGGGCUAGGUGCCUGGGGAGCUUUGGGGAAGGAGGGACUGAGCACCCCACCCUCAAGUGGCAAAGGGUGUCUUCUACAAGUCCCCAUCAGCUCCACUCUCCACACGCCCCACACACAUUCAAUCACAGCCUCAAGUUCAAAAGUGAAUUAAAACUCAAAGAAGCCUGGGGACAGGGACAAGAGUACUUCUGUCAUUCAUUCUCUUCCCCUGCUUCCUUGGGGACAAGGGUGGCCUGGAGGAACAAUAGUGUCCCCUGGCCCCUUCUUCCUGCAUUGGGUUAGAAAAGGCAGCAGAAAGCAGUGGGGAUGACAAAGACACACACACACACACACACACACACACACACACACACACACACACACACACACACACCCCAGGCUUGAGAAGGGAGGAGGAGGCGUCUCUGGCUGGACGGACAGACUGUUAUUUUGGUGGUGGGCAUGGUCCCAGAUAGGGGCAGCGUUCCCCUUUUUCCUGGCUUUUCAGGGAGAGCAGCAAGAGAAAGAAAGAAGCAAACGAAAUUCCUGAAUGGAUAAGAGAUGCUACGUCAGCGGUACUGGAGCCGCAUCCUCCACUCCACGAGAAGAGAAGAGCUAGGAGAGACCAGCGGGCGGUAGCUGCGGCUAGUGGCCUCUCCGUGCGGCACAGAGGCAAGAAGCAGCCAUCCAUCCAGAAGCAACCUCCGUAUUCCGUUUGUCCGGAUGUCAUCGUAGGUGGCCGGCAUCUCUGGCUUUGGGCUUCUCCCCUGGGGCGGGUGGGUGCUCCACCCUCCCGCCCACUCUCUGAGGACAUGAGGAGCAUGGUAUCCAGCACCACGGACAGCUCCCAGCGGUUCCUUGAAUGCUUGGUUUAUGUGCCUGGCUGGAGGAGACACCCAUGGCCUUGCAGAGGGAGCGUUCUGGUGGGAAAGCAGACACAACCCACCCUAGGCCCGUGGUUUCCCUGCAAGAAGCCCAGUGGCUUUCUGGAGGACACUUUUCCUGGAGGAAGUGACUCAAGGUAUUCAGGGGGUUGGGUAGGGGAAAUAUCAAGGAAGUAAGAAAGAACAUGGUAUAUGUGGGGACUUGCCUGACCCUCCAAAGAAGUGGAGCCUUAGAUGCUGAAGCAGAGAAACUGGCUUAAUGGCCUGGGGUUUAAGGAAGUCAGCCAUGAGUUAGCUCAGAGAUGCUAGGGCGUGUCACUCGGCUGGGUGGUGCUUCAUAAUGUGUAGGAGGCUCAUGUGUAUGCAACCUACUGGCUUCUCACAUUAAAAGCAAAAAGGUUUGAAGAAGUUAAGUACUGCAAGGCCAAUUGGUACUAGAAUGGAGACAGAGAGGAAGUUCUACUUAGAAACUUUCUAGAAGAAGAAAGGGGAUAAUGAGAGCAAGGAGAGAGAUCCAGGGCUUAGUCUGAGGGGAUUCUGUGAGAGCAACUGAGGUAGGGAGAAGAGCCGUGCGUGCUGGUCCCGAGGCUGCAAUGUAAGCAACAUGCCAAGCUUUACACAAAGGCUUCUCUGUAAGUGGCCUUGGCAGUGGCUGUCAGGUGAGGGGACUUAGCUCUCAGGGCCUUCAGGGCAUUGGGGGUAGGACUGGAGGUGGCCUCAGACUUCCAGCAGGUCCACAUCAAAAGAAAGACUCUAAGCCUGGCUAGAACUCCCACAGAGGCUAUAUAGAGCCGGUUCCAGGCCAGACUCCUGCCCACUGCCCAGUCAGGCCGCCAGGUCUAGGCUCAGCCUCUGCCCACCUCCUAUUCUUCCAGCUGUGCCCCCUGCACCUUCUAGCAUCUCCUUUUUCAGCCCACACAUGCCCUCCCAGGUUAUGGGUCUGGUCUCACUGGGCCCGAGCAAGUACCACAGGGAACCUCUUACACUGAGGACUGUAUUGGGAAGGAGAGAAACCACUGACCAGAAGCAAAAAGGUGUCUCGGGAGGAAGGGGGUCACUGUUUCAAGCACUCUGCUCUCCAUCUUCUUCAGCACAAGUUCUUGGUGGCCUCAAUUCACGGUCUCUUCCUGUUGAUCAGCAGUAGGCAGAGACCACCUCCCUCAUCGCCACUUUGGGU
ensembl:lncRNA